GUAGUGCCAGACUGGCCCAAAAUCAUUGUGGUGGCUGAUGGCUCCCAUGGGGAGACCUGCUCUGUUCUGGGGCUCAGUCCAGAUUAUGUAGUGGAAUCCUGCAAUGCUUAUGGAGCUAACGCCACCAUCACGAGACUGGACCAGAGACAGGUGCCCACACCAGAAAUCCGAGCCCACAACCUCUACCUCGAUCUCUCUGCUUAUGGGAUCGAGUUCACUUCUGCAAAAAAGGAAUCCCCAAUCUCGCAUCAGGCAGUCAAACAGCCAGGUUUCCACCUGAAAAUCUACGGAACCUUCCGCCACCGAUAUAUCGCUUUGGCAUGUCCAGCUUCUGAUUCCAAAGUUGUUAGAUUUCUCCGUCAUACUGUCAGCUCCUCACCCCCCAGUACAUAGUUAUACAUUCUUCGUCGUGGGUCCUUCUAGUUGUGGCAUGUGGGAUGCUGCCUCAGCAUGGUUUGAUGAGCAGUGCCAUGUCUGCGCCCAGGAUUCGAACCAACGAAACACUGGGCCACCUGCAGUGGAGUGCGCGAACUUAACCACUCGGCCACGGGGCCAGCCCCUAACCCAGAGAUUUUUAAAAAAUGUUUCUAUUCACAAUAUUUG
rnacentral:lncRNA from 1 species